CCUACGGGAGGCAGCAGUGAGGAAUAUUGGUCAAUGGACGCGAGUCUGAACCAGCCAAGUCGCGUGAAGGAUGACUGCCCUAUGGGUUGUAAACUUCUUUUGUCAAGGAAUAAAACGAGGCACGCGUGCCUUUUCGCAUGUACUUUAUGAAUAAGGAUCGGCUAACUCCGUGCCAGCAGCCGCGGUAAUACGUAGGUGGCAAGCGUUAUCCGGAUUUACUGGGUGUAAAGGGCGGGGAGGCGGGAAUGCAAGUCAGAGGUUAAAACCACGGGCUCAACCUGUGGCGUGCAUUUGAAACUGUUGUUCUUGAGUACGGGAGAGGCAGACGGAAUGCGUAGUGUAGCGGUGAAAUGCGUAGAUAUUAGGCAGAACACCGGUUGCGAAGGCGGUCUACUGGCCAGCAACUGACGCUGAGGCGCGAAAGCGUGGGUAGCAAACAGGAUUAGAUACCCUAGUAGUC
rnacentral:rRNA from 1 species